rnacentral:ncRNA from 1 species
AUCUGUACACGCGGGAGCUCGGAGCACCGGGCUGAGAGGGCGCUGACCUCCGUAUAUCCAUACGGGACACGCUGCGUCGACCGCCGAACCUGUUACCGGGUAAUGCCGGCGUAGGGAGUAGGUCUCAUGACCAC